AUGUUGUGAAAAAAAGAGAGAAAAAUCUGGACAAAUUGUUUCCAAAAAAGUGGAAUUGAAUCGAAAGAUCAUGUGGUUCAAGAUCUACAGUAACAACAUGGUGGUUUGGUUGGUGUUACUGCUUCUGGGUUCGAGCCUUCUCUUCAGUUCAAUUGCUUCCGCUUCCCUUUCCUCUUCGACUGACACCACCAUGCACACUAACAACUGGGCUGUCUUGGUCUGCACCUCUCGCUUCUGGUUUAAUUAUCGACACAUGGCUAAUACUUUAUCUUUGUAUAGGACUGUUAAGCGACUAGGAAUACCUGAUGAGAGGAUAAUACUCAUGUUGGCAGAUGAUAUGGCUUGCAAUCCCAGGAACAAGUACCCUG
rnacentral:misc_RNA from 1 species